CAUCGGCCUUUAGCUCCACCA
rnacentral:misc_RNA from 1 species